rnacentral:rRNA from 1 species
CCUACGGGAGGCAGCAGUGAGGAAUAUUGGUCAAUGGGUGAGAGCCUGAACCAGCCAAGUCGCGUGAGGGAGUACUGCCCUAUGGGUUGUAAACCUCUUUUGUCGGGGAGCAAAAGCCGGACGUGUCCGGCUGUGAGAGUACCCGAAGAAAAAGCAUCGGCUAACUCCGUGCCAGCAGCCGCGGUAAUACGGAGGAUGCGAGCGUUAUCCGGAUUUAUUGGGUUUAAAGGGUGCGCAGGCGGAUUUUUAAGUCAGCGGUAAAAUCGUGGGGCUCAACCCCAUCCAGCCGUUGAAACUGGGGAUCUAGAGUGUGCGAGAGGUAUGCGGAAUGCGUGGUGUAGCGGUGAAAUGCAUAGAUAUCACGCAGAACCCCGAUUGCGAAGGCAGCAUACCGGUGCACAACUGACGCUCAGGCACGAAAGCGUGGGUAUCGAACAGGAUUAGAUACCCUGGUAGUC